rnacentral:misc_RNA from 1 species
GUGAAUCAUCAAAUUUUUGAACGCAAAUUGCACUCUCCGGUUUUCCGGGAGAGUAUGCCUGUUUGCGGGUCAGCCUAAAAAAAAUCGACAUUGUUGCUGUUAUUUAAUGGUGACUUUCGUCGGAGAUUGGGUUAUCUUAAACCUUUUUUUUUUUUUGUUUUAGGCACUUUAAAUUUUUUUUUCACAAUUCCUUAACGGUUUCUAAGUUUUUUUUUUCUUUUACUUUUAAGUUUUUCCGA